rnacentral:lncRNA from 1 species
UUGGAUAAAAGACCACAGCCAGGGGCAUGGGACCCGGCCUCCUGAGCAGCUCCUGAGGAGCCAGAUGAUACCCAGAAAUGCAAGGUGUUACCUCCAUGGUGUGUGAACCCGAACCAAGACUUUGCCAAGAGCUUCAAGAAGUAGCCAACAUAACUCAACAUCCAAAAUGUCUCCUGCCAUUUCCCUUAACACUACAGCCUCAGUUGGCACGUGAUUGGAAUCUCAAGGCACGACAAGCAAGAGUCCAAAGCAAAUGUCUUGCUGCCACCUAGCAAGUGUUACAGACAUCCAGCCUAUUCUAGCUGGACCCUCACUGCUCUCUGCCCUGCCACCUCAACUCAGCCAUUCUGUAUUUUCGGAUAUUAUCUGUGCUGCUCUAUUUACUGCAACUAAUUCAAAGGAAUGUGUUUGGCUACAAGUAACAGAGG